rnacentral:lncRNA from 10 species
UUUCCAUCAUCUCAUAAAGUCCAGUUGGACAGUGCUGAUCAACACAAAAUAUAUACAAGUGAGGGUCCUGCUGCGGUCUCACAUCCUCAAAGGAAUUAUUGGACUGAUGAGCAAACCACUAAGACAAACACUGAUGAGUGGACUGACUGGGCUUCUAAAUCCCAUGUGAGUGAAGGUAGCCAGCCCUCGCUAAACCUAAACCUACCCAGGACAAACUUAAAGCUGGGUCCCUGUCUUCAUCACCCAAAAGGGUAGACUCCAGGUGGACUGAACACCUAAAAGAUACAAUUAAAACAAAAGAAUAUCCAGCAGAAUACCCUUGUGACCUAGGAACGGAGGACCACUCAAGAAUUCAAAGGCAAAAAUCAUAAAGCCAAAAGAAUUUGGUGAACCUGAUUACAUCAAAGAACACACUGGGGCCAGCUGGCAUCACUUGGUCAAAUCAUUUAUGUGUCUCCACAAGACCCAGCAACCCCUCUCCUGGGACAGUUCUCACAGCAGGCUGCUGCACGGUGGUGUGGGGGAGGACACGCACUUGGUGUCAUCUGGAGUGGCAGGCAGUUGGAGGCAGCCUAGUGUCCACCCCUGGGAGUGGAUGGAGGAGUUUGCAGAGGGGAAAAGCAGCCAGAAGAUGCACUCGCAGAACAACAUUUGGGGUGGGAACUCCAGCGCCGAGUGGGGAGUCAGAGGCACAGUGAGACAUGUGCCACAACGCCGCCAAUGGGGUGCAAACAGACCCGAAAGACUCACUUCGCAAGAACACAUCCCAACAAGAAGAUACAGAGAAAUCACCGGGGAGGGACUGCCUGAAGGGCAGGAAGGCGUGUGGGAACAAGAGGUGAGAGAGUCCAUCCCUGCCCCUGCCCAGUCCCCUGCUCAGAAUACAUGAGGAAUCCCAAGGUUGGAAUUGCUGGUCACCAAUGACCAGCACAUUGUCAUUUGACUCAGGGCUGGCAUACUUAUGCCAUAAAGGGCCAGAGAGUAAAUACUUCAGGCUUUGAAGCCCAUGAGGUUGUUGUCAGAGCUACUCCACUCUGCACAGGAGCAGUCCCAGAAAAUAUGUAAACAAGUGGACAUGGCUGUGUUCCAAUAAAACUUUAUUCAUCGACACUAAAAUUUGAAUUUUAUGAAAUUUUCAUAUGUCAUGAAAUAUCCCUUUUUUAGUUUUUUCCUAGCCAUUUAAAAAUGUAAAAACUAUUCUUAGUUUGUGGAUUGUAUAAAAAUAAGGGUGGAGCUGGACUGGCCCACAGGCUGUAGUUUGCUAACCCCGGAUUUAACUGAUGACUUCUGCUCCCUAUGGAGACAAUUUGUCUCCCUAUGGAGGCAAACAUGUUUAAUGAGCCUGGAGAACUGAGGUCUCAUCUUUACUCCCAAGGCCAGCCAGCACCUCUGGAUUUCCUAAGAUAACUAAUCCUAUUAGGUUAUAGAAUAAUUGAAACCAAGCAUCUGGCUGGGGAUAAAAAGACCACCCUGAGGGGCACAGGGACCCUCUUGUAUGGCCAGGACUGCAUACUAUAUGGUAGCCAGGAGGGAGGGCUGUUAUUUUCUUGCUUCAAUGAGCAGCAUUGAUUUCUGUUGUUUGCAGCCAUAACUUCCUGGCUGGUACAGCCUUGAGGAACUCACUUCACUUCUCUGAGGUUAACUUUCUUUCCAGUGAAAUGUCUGCCUGAUGCCUGAGGCCAUGGCAGCUCUCUUGCAACCAUGAGGGGUCCUUGCUGACAGGCCAAAAUGACAAGCUGAGGAAAACAGAGUGGAAGAUGAAUCAGGUCCUUGAAAACUUUACUGAACUGCCAAGGAACUGCUCUCCCCUGGACUUCUCACAUGAGAUAAUAAAUGUCCUUGUGGUUUAAGCCAUUCUGAGUUGGGUUUUAUGUUCUUGCAGCAUAAAGCAUCAUCACUGAUAAACCACUCACAGCACUGCUUGGGAGUGCAAUAAGGUUGUACAGAUAAAGUCCUUGUGGACUUCAGGCUUGCUUAGCCAGCCCCCACAAUCACACAGCCCACUUCCUUGUCAUAAAGUCCUUCAGAAAGAGCUACAGCUUGUAGGCCUGGCUGUAGAUGGAUUCCACACCCUUCUGUCCACAGGUGGAACUUCUCUUUCACACAGAAGCCUGUUUGGCUCUUGAAGCCCACCCAGACCAGCCAGGAUAAGAGGAGGUCACAGGAGAGUUGUGAGUGGGCGAGCCCGAGGUGGGAUCUGGGUGUUGAAUGAAGCCUAAUCCAGAGCAAAGCCCUAACUUUCUUCAGUUCCAUGACAUCUUCAAUUUCAAAUUAGGCCAUAGAUCAUGUAUGUAUACCUUAUUAGUAAAUAUUGGUUGGCUAGUAACCCAGUAAGAUUCUAGAAAGAUUCUGUGUCUGGGAAUGAGCUCUUAUUUUAAAAGGAUAGUAUUGCAUGCUAAACUGAGGAAUUAUGUCUGACAGAAGGGAAGAAAUGACUGCGGUGGCCUUCUCAGACCCUGUAGGAAAGGCCUUUACUUAUUCAGUGAAAGUGUCUAUUUGAACUAAGAGGUAUUUUAGUUUCCUGACUCGGGCAUGUUGAGUAAAGCUAAUUUGCCAGUCCUGGGUGGGGGCAAAUCCUCGAGCUUGAUGUGUAGGGAAGGGAGGGGGCCUGAAUAAUCCCUGAGGAGUAGUAGAAUAGCAGAUGGAACACUGAGAAGUUAUUUCCUUGAGGAUAGAUUUCCAGGAUGGAAAGGAAAUGAGAGGUUCUGAGAGGCGGGCUAGUGGCUUGUACUAUAGCAUAGCCUGCCUUUGCUGGUGUGUGGCGAUUAGGCCUGGUGGAACUGCCGUCAAUAAAUCAAGCGUGAUCAGGGUGAGGAACAGGAAAGAAGGAAAUAUGGGGAAAUGGGGUGAAUAUCAGGUGGAUCAGAGAGAUACAGUCAUGGGGGUCAGGUGUGGUAUCAGGAAUAAUGUGGGAGGCCAGAUUGAAGUCCGGGCCAGGAACGAUGGUAAUUGUGAGACUUAAAGAGUGAGUACAGCUGAAGGAGCCGGGGAGCAGAAAGUAUAUGCGUCAGGUAUGAGGAAGAAAAUAGAUUUUGGGAAAUGUAGAGAGUGAGUUGAGCAUAGUUUGUGACUUUUAGG